rnacentral:rRNA from 1 species
UGAGGAAUAUUGCUCAAUGGGCGCAAGCCUGAAGCGGCGACGCCGCGUGGGCGACGAAGGUCUUCGGAUCGUAAAGCCCUUUUCUGCGUGACGAGCAAGGACGGUAGCGCAGGAAGAAGUGUCGGCUAACUACGUGCCAGCAGCCGCGGUAAAACGUAGGACGCAAACGUUAUCCGGAAUUACUGGGCGUAAAGAGCGUGUAGGCGGGGGGAUAAGUUGUCCGUGAAAGCGCCUGGCUAAACUGGGCGAGGUCGGAUAAGACCGUCCGUCUGGAGGGCGUGAGAGGGAUGCGGAAUUCCGGGUGUAGUGGUGAAAUGCGUAGAGAUCCGGAGGAACACCAGAGGCGAAGGCGGCAUCCUGGGACGUACCUGACGCUGAGACGCGAAAGCAUGGGGAGCGAACGGGAUUAGAGACCCCGGUAGUCCAUGCCGUAAACGAUGUUCACUAGAUGUGCGUUUUCCUACGGGGAGAUGUGCGUCGAAGCCAACGCGCUAAGUGAACCGCCUGGGGAG